AGAGGAGUAUUCUUAUUGAUACUUAGGGAUGAUUUACAAUGGGGUAAGACCCCUCUAUUUAUAGACAUAGAAAAGACUUAGCCUUAAAGUAAAACUCUUCUAUAAGAUAGACAUUCACUCUAAUUAGAGUUCUAUUUAUAUCACUUUUAAAAUAUACCAUACCAUUUAUGCUAUUAUAAAAGCUCUCAGUAACAUCAAAAUGAAAAGAGUAAAUAAUUAUUUUUAAAGUUAAAAGUAUAUUUUUUUGGAGCGGACUAAAAAGAAUUAGGACGGAAGAAGUAAACAAAAUGAAAAUAUUGGCCUACAAACAUUGAAAUCACUAACAAAAAAGUUCGAAAAGGAAGGAGGAUUAGGCUUACAUGUUUCUCCUUUUGAUAUAAUCUCAGCAUUCUCUCCCAUAGUGAUGCAAGGGAAAAAACAAGUAGCCACACCUUCAAGGAGUCAAGAAAAUUAUCAAGAUUUUAGCAAAUACUAAUGUUUUAUUUAAGCAAAACUGAAGAGUUAAUUUAAAUAGUUGUUCAUUCAAUCAUUUAUACUAAAACAAUCCAGCAAAUAUAUAACAAUAUAAUAAUAACAACAAACUUAGUAUAAUCCUAUAAAGUAGGGUUUGGAGGUCUGAUAGAAUGUGCACAAACCUUAUUCUACCUUGUGGAGGUAUAUAGGUUAUUUUUGAUAGACCCCGAUCUUAAAAUAAAUAUAAAAGAAGCAGACACAACACGUAGGAACAUCAACAAGAUAAGAUGGUAGGGAAACAUGAUGAUAGAAUAAUCAAAGCGAAAGCAUCAACAUGUGUAUAAUCGAUAUAUAAUUAAUUAUAUCAAUUAGAAAGAAAAAAUUAAAUGGAGAAUUCAACUGGCUAUUUGUGUAAAGAUCGCUAAUGAAUUUGCAAUGAUGAAGCACAAAAUGUAAAAAUUAUACAGUUGAUGGGAUCAUCUAAGCAAUCACAAAUACCACUUGACCAUUGAACCUCUGUUGAAUUUGCUGUUGAUGGCAUAUUUUAGAACAAAUAAAAUGAAUGAAUUGAAAGGAUAUUAAAAGGUUAUUUUUCAAAAUUUU
rnacentral:lncRNA from 1 species